GAACGCAAAUUGCACUCUCUGGUAUUCCGGGGAGUAUGCCUGUUUGAGGGUCGCUUAACAAACAUCGAUCCCAUUGCUUUUUUUUUUUAAAAGUGAUGUCGUCGGAUUUGAGCCGUCUUUUUUUUUUAUAACUAAUAAGUGGCUUAAAAUUGAUUUUUUUGGUAUGAUCGAAGCGUAUUUUAUGAUCAAAUUUUGGUUAAGGAAACGCACACGUACCGUCAUUUUAUAUGAUGUAAUACGUUUGACUAUCAGAUUUAGUUCAUUCGUAUACGAUAUUUUUCAAUAUUUGACCUCAAAUCAGGUAAGAACACCCGCUGAACUUAAG
rnacentral:misc_RNA from 1 species